CAAAAGAGAAUAAGGAGAAGGCAGAGAUGCCCUGACCUGCUACCCUGCAUCAUCUGACUGAAGCAGGUGGCCUAAUGCCUUCCACGCCGCCCUUCUUUGAACAUUAGGUGCACAAGUCCUUUUGCUGUUUUUAGCAUCUCCCAGGUCUCCCCAUCUGAAGCAGAUUUUCAACUACUCAGGAGCUGGCAUGGUGGUGCACACCUGUUACCGAGUCACUUGGGAAGCUAAGGCAGGAGAAUGCCAAGUUUGAGGCUAGCCUCAGAAACUUAACAAGACUCUGUCUCAAGAUGUCGCUCAGUGGUAAAGCAUGCCUGGGUUCUAUCCCCAGUACAAAAAAAGAACAGAAAGAAAGAAGAAAAAGGAAAAAGAAAGGGGAAAAAAUGAUUUCUUCUAACUGCUCAUAUACCCACAGUGCCACAUCAGUUUGCUUCUGUACCAGAUUUACAACCUCAGUGCAGAAAAUCUCUUCCCUCUUCUGUAAUAAGGGUGCUGGCAGCUACAGGGAAGCAGAGUAGACCAGAUCCUGCAGGGCAAUAGGAGCUUCAGGGAGACCAGUGGCCAAUCCUGGAUCCAAGCAGUACACCCUGUCAGCAGGUCCUGUGUGGCUCAGGAGGAACUUCACUACUCACCCAGACUUGAGUCAACCAUUCUGAAAUGUGUUCUAGGAACCUAGCGCUUCCCCUCCCACCUCUUCAUCCCCCUGCCUCCUGGUACUCCAACAAAUUUGAUAAAUGUGAUAGAUCUCUCUGUGAAAAAUCAUCUCCUCAACUGAAGCCAAUGGACUCAAGCAAGGCCUAUUUUGCUUUUGCCACACAACUAUAGAAAUGUUUAUGAAUGAGCCAUCUCUUAAUAGCAAAAGAAAGGCAAUGAUCGUGGGAUGGUCUAUAGCUGAAAAUGACAACACUGAAAUCCUUCGUUUACAGGAUUUGGAAGUCGUAUAGACUACAAAUUUCUCUGCUGUGCAACAUACAUAACAAGUCCCCAAAAUAUCCUUUGUUUGCUGAGGUUUUGCUCAGAUAUUUAAGGUUUCUGACAGUUUAAAUAUGGUGAACAAUAUGGUGAACUAUCUAAAUAUUUUGCAUCAUUGGUAUUUGGAAAGAUCUUUAUGAACAAUUAGUACCAGUCUAAGAGGCAAGUGUAGCAUCCAGACUUCCCAUUUUCCAUGGGGGUGGAUCAACAUGGCUUCCUCAGCCAGUUCCAUGUCACAUGGACUGUCUCACAGCUCCCACUAGUAUGGGUUUCCUGCUCCUGGUCACUUUUCUUAUGUUGUCACACAGCAGGACACUGGAUGGUGUGGAUCUGCAGACUUCCAACUUUGGGUUCACCUGGUCUCACUCUAGGUUAAGAAUGAUACAGAGCAGUGUGUGUGUGAGUGAGAGAGAGAGAGAGAGAGAGAGAGAGAGAGAGAGAGAGAGAGAGGGAAAUCCAGGGCCUCGUGCAUGCUAGGCAAGUACUUUACCAUUGAGCUACAUCCCCAGUUCUAAAGCUUCCUUUGAUGCAGGAACAAAGUGGGAGUCCUGUGACCCACUAGAAUGGGGGCCUACAAAGAAAGUAAAGAUUUCCCAGUCUGUGGACAUCUUUAAGAACUGGGGAACAAUCCUGGUUACUUUCAGCUUCCAGAGACAGAAUGAUGGAUGGUUUCAUUUGUGAAUGUGCUAUCCGUAUACUCAGAAGAAGUUUUUUUUUUUUUUUUUCCUUUCUUCGGGGUGCUUGGGAUUCGAAUCCCAGCCCUUGCGCAUGAUCAGCAAGCACUCUACAUGAUGACCUAUCUCGUCAACACCAAAUGUGCUAUUUGUUGGGGCUCUUCAUCCAGUCAGUUGGUUAACGUGUAGUGAAUGCACCCAGCAUGUACAGGUUCCUCAGUUAAGCAUCUUGGGGCCAGAGCAAAGAAUGAAAAUAGUGCUUUCCCCUACUACACCAAAUGAACAGUCAACAGAGAUGUGAAGAGAGAGAAAUGAGUCACUCACUAUGUGAGAAGGUCAUCUGAACAAGGCUCAGCCAGGAAGGCAUCAGAGAAGAAUGACCUUGGCAAGAUCCAAAGUCAUUCAGAUGAGAAAAGCUAAAAUUCAGUAUGUAUUGCCCAUUGAAGUCAAAUAAAAAAUCCACUUAUUUCCCAAAUAAAAUGUUAAGAAUCACCUUCCAUAGACCAUUUUAACUCUAUUUCUGAUAAAUCAUUAAAAAGCCUUCUACUGGAAUCACUCUAAUGCCAAAGAAAAAGUUACACUCAUAAAAUAGUUAAUGUCAAAAUGUAAAUGGUUUGUUUAAGAUUCAGCAAUUGUUGCUGAAUCAAACACAAAAUCUCUAUGGCUUGAAUAGCAAGGGAGACAAAAGGCUUGACGAUUUAGUGCUCGUUACAGACUGUCUGGCUGAAUUUUAGAUUGCAACUUAAAAGAAAAAAAAAAACAUUAAACCAGUUCAAGUGUGAAUUGACAUAUGCACAGCAGUUUCAGCUGCCUACAAAUGGGGCAAGGACACAGCCUGAAAAUGACUUGUACAUGCAAUGGCUGAGUAUGGGCCUGGGCUCGGACCCCAGCUUGGAUCCAGGUCCAGGGGCAGGGCCUGGAGUGAGCAGAACCGUGGACAAGAAGGCGCUAGAGUACAGGGCCCCACCAGGGGCUUAGAGGGUAACCCCAGUGAGCUUUUUCCUGCAAGAAGGCACCGGGUUGAGAAUAGUCAAAUGGUAGCUCAUUCCUGCCUGAGGGGGAGGGAAAUAGCAGUUUCUUGCUCUCCUCUCCUUUUCUAGCAUUGCUUGUCAGAUACUUACAUGAGCCACAGUGGGACUCCUGCCUGCCAAAUCUAACUGCAGGCCUGGUGACCCCCACUGACCUCUAGUCUGGUCUUUUCUGGUAGGUUUGUAGGGUGUUGAGCAAAAACCUUUGUCUAAAUUCUUG